rnacentral:misc_RNA from 1 species
AGCAGCCGCGGUAAUUCCAGCUCCAAUAGCGUAUAUUAAAGUUGUUGCAGUUAAAAAGCUCGUAGUUGAAUUUCGGGAUCAAUACGUCGGUCGUGCUUCGGUACGUACUGGCGUAAUUGAUUUCUCCCUUCUGACGAACCAUGAUGUCAUUAACUUGGUGUCAUGGGGAAUCAGGACUGUUACUUUGAAAAAAUUAGAGUGUUUAAAGCAGGCUCACGCUUGAAUACAUUAGCAUGGAAUAAUGAAAUAGGACGUUCGAUCCUAUUUUGUUGGUUUUUAGGAUCAACGUAAUGAUUAAUAGGGAUAGUUGGGGGCAUUAGUAUUCAAUUGUCAGAGGUGAAAUUCUUGGAUUUAUUGAAGACUAACUACUGCGAAAGCAUUUGCCAAGGAUGUUUUCAUUAAUCAAGAACGAAAGUUAGGGGAUCGAAGACGAUCAGAUACCGUCGUAGUCUUAACCAUAAACUAUGCCGA